UCCAGACUCCUACGGGAGGCAGCAGUGGGGGAUAUUGCACAAUGGGGGGAACCCUGAUGCAGCGACGCCGCGUGGGUGAAGGAGCGUUUCGGCGCGUAAAGCCCUAUCGGCAGGGAAGAAGGAGGACGGUACCUGACUAAGAAGCCCCGGCUAACUACGUGCCAGCAGCCGCGGUAAUACGUAGGGAGCAAGCGUUGUCCGGAAUUACUGGGCGUAAAGGGCGCGUAGGUGGGCGCUUAAGUCAGGUGUGAAAACUCCGGGCUCAACCUGGAGACUGCACUUGAAACUGGGUGUCUUGAGGGCAGGAGAGGAAAGUGGAAUUCCUGGUGUAGCGGUGAAAUGCGUAGAUAUCAGGAGGAACACCGGUGGCGAAGGCGGCCUGCUGGACUGCAACUGACGUUGAGGCCCGAAAGCGUGGGGAGCAAACAGGAUUAGAUACCCGAGUAC
rnacentral:rRNA from 1 species